CUCCUCGUCUGUGUAUGGCACUGGUAGAAUUCACUGUCUCGGCAUCCUCUCAGUGAAUUACCACAGGGCCAUAAACAGCCUAGAGA
rnacentral:pre_miRNA from 1 species